UUUUUUUUUUUUUUACUUUUAUUGUAUGUAUAUGAUGUUUUGCCUGAGGAGGUCAGAAGAGGGUAUCUGUGGAUCCUCUAGAACAAAGUUACAGUUGCAGAUGGUCAUGAGCUACAAUGUGGGUGCUGGAAAUUAAUCCUGGGCCCUCUGGAAAAGCAGUCAAUGCUCUUAAUUGCUGAGCCAUCUCUCUAGCCUCAGAAUAAAUAUUUUUAAAGAUUAUUUUAUGUGUAUGAGUGUUUUGCAUGUAUGUAUGUCUGUGCACCACAUGGAUGCCUGCAGAGGUCAGAAGGGGGCAUUUGAUCCCCUGGAACUAGAAUUACAGACAGUUACGAACCACCAUGUAGGUGCUGGUAAUCAAACUGUGUUCUCUACAAAAACAGCAAGCAGCAAGUAUUCUUGUUUGUUUUGUUUUGUUUUGUUUCAAGACAGGGUUUCAGGCUUUCUCUCUGUAGCCCUGGCUGUCCUGGAACUCACUCUGUUGUAGACCAGGCUGGCCUCGAACUCAGAAAUCCGCCUGCCUCUGCCUCCUAAGUGCUGGGGUUAAAGGUGUGCGCCACCACUGCCCAGUGUAGCAAGUGUUCUUAAUCUGUAAGCCACUUCUUGAGCCUCAAAAUAUUUUACACACACACACACACACACACACCUACCACGUCUAUAGGAGGGUUUUUUUGUUUUGGGUUUUUUUGUUUUUUUUGUCUGUUUAGUUGGUUGGUUUUGGUUUUAUUGGGGGGGGGUUGUUUUGUUUGAGACACAUUUCUCAUUUCUCUGUGUAACUCUGACUGUCCUGGAACUCACUCUGUAGAUCAGACUGGCCUCAAGCUAACCAAGAUCCUACUGACUGCUGGGAUUAAAUAUAUGUGCCACCACUGCCUAACUAAUAAAGAUAAUUUUUUUAAAAAUGCUUU
rnacentral:lncRNA from 1 species